rnacentral:lncRNA from 1 species
AAUACCUUGACUGAGAAUAUUUUGUAGACAAGAAUAUAAAAUGUAUUUAGUGCAGAGGAUAUGGAAAUUAAAUAAUCUUGACCAGCUAACCAUCUGUGUUCAUUUGAUAACAUCAGUGGACACCAACUGUGAUAGAAGUACUUAACCUAAUCAUUUAAUUGCUUGUAUAAACAAUCAAUUACAUGGUUUCAAUGUUGAAUAUCAGGGAAAAUCCGGGCUGUUCUCUAAAGUAUAAAC